rnacentral:lncRNA from 1 species
UGUUUGGAAAGGUGUUCAUAUUGAAUAAAAAUACUUUUUAUUAAAUUACUUUUAUUCUCACAUUUCGUAAAAUUUAUUUUUUCUCAAUACAUUGACUUGUAAACAUGAACCAAAAAAAUCAAGCAGCCAAAGAAAGGAAAAUUUCAGCUAAUAAUGGGCCAUAGACCAGACUCAAAAGGUGCCUUGCCUUUAAAAAAAUUUGAUAAGUCGAUAAUAAAAAAUUUAAGAACCGUGGUGGUUGUGGUGGUUCCCUCCUACACCAAUAGCGACAUUUUCGUUGAUAUUAACAUACGAAGAUAUAUCAAAAAUUAUAAAUUUUUUUUUGAAUCAACAACAUAUAUCAAUUUCAAUUAGAAUCAUCGACGGUCGUAUGUUAACCGAUCACCAAGAAGUUCUGGUGAUUGAAAUACCUUCAAUGAUUUCUGAUAAUAUCAAUGACGACAUUUAAUGUCGCUGAUUACUACAUAAUGUGUGCCAAUAACCACAAAUGUUGUGGUUGUCAAUAAAUUCAUUUAAGUAACCGACAAAUGUUGAUCUCAAUCAGAAUUAUCAACUAUCAUGCCGUCGAUGAUCAACGAUUGAAUUUUGUCAAUUAUAUCGUUCCCUUAAUUUAUCUAAGGAUGAAUGAAUUUGUUAUUUAUUUACCGUAGUGGGUACGUAUUAAAUGCAAUAUACUCAAUAAGUAAUUGAUAGAA